rnacentral:lncRNA from 1 species
GCAAAAUUCUCCACAUUUUUAUCAAACAAUCAAGACUCAAGUGUUAUCAAAAAAUGUCUCACCAAAAUAUCACUCAAAGGUAAGUGUUUCACUCAAUCCAAACAAAGUGUAUGCAACAAUUCAAUUCAAACAUUUAUCAGAGCAAUUUCACAAAACAUGUCGUCAAUUGUGGAUCACUAAGGACUUUAUUAAGCUUGUAACGGGGCUGGGCUACAAAAAAUCAUUGUUUUUCUUUGGAUUUCAAAAGGCCUCAAGAAUAAGAGAGCAAUACAAANN